CAUGUUAGAUUACGACGCCUGGAAUGAUAUUCCCAGUAAGAAAUGAAAAUAUUCAUCUUAUGAUGAAAGCACAAAAUAGUUCGGAGAGGGUCUGAGCUUUGAUAUCUUGGAUUUGCUUAGGGAAUAUGUUGAAAGUGGUCAACAAUAUAACGGCAAACAACUGGAAAAUCAGGAGCGAAUAGUGCAGUUGUUAGCGGAUAUUAUAGAUGACUUUAAGGCGCUCUAUCGCAGCAAGUGACAGUCAGCCAUGGAAAAGAACGAUUUAACUUGACAGCGUCAAUUCGAAAGUGUAGAUUCAGAUCAAAUGAACUUAAUUUUCCUUUUGAUUCCUAUCUAUAAUUUUCAUUAUCCUAUCCGAAUUGCCGUCAAAAGGACAUUGACAUUUAUAGACUCUUCGAAUAAACACAGUCAAGCGUGGAAAGAAUAUAAAUAAUUUAACUGCCAACUUUAUUACUUAUCAAGAGAUGUUUACAUCAUUUAAAUAUUUAGAUUCCUUGACUGUGCAACGAGGCCAGUCUAGCAAUUGUGCGGAUAUAUGAAGUGCACUAUUAUCGCCGAAUUUAAUUGAUUGGGCUUCUCGUACGUCCUCGACUCGUUGAUAUGCUAUGAUAUUGAAUCUUCUCAUAGCUUAAUACUAAAUCCACCGAACAUCAUUAUUAGUGAUGAUCUUUCGGGAAUUCAAAUGGAAAAAAGAUGGAAACUUGCCACACAUAACUUGACAAGCUCCGGCAAAACGAAUGACGUAAUGACACCUUGUGGCCUGCAUAGAGGUAAAACCAUUAGUGUUCACGGUAAAAAGAAUGACCCUGAGAAUGCGGCUGUGUAAGACGCAAAAGAAUCUUCCGUUUAUUUGACGUCAGCUUCGAUUUUUGCUACUCUUCCGGUUCCGCGUCUCAGUGCAACCGCUCAUCCACCAUCUGAUGUGAUAGCUGCAGUUUUACCUGUUGAAGCCGUAACAUUAGCUAGAGGGAGGCGGUGGUUUCAUCUGCUACUACAUAUUCCGAAUAAGCGCUGGGCGUACACGUGCUAUCGUUGGGAAUAAGGAGCAACUUCAAACUCAAUCUUAACCUUCGAUAAAUAUCGCUAGCAUAAUUGCAGUAGGACCUCCUAUGUCUACGGCGGCAACUAGAUGUACAUCUAAAUCUAAAUCUCCAGCUGUGGAUCUGCAGCUUUGAAGUGAGAGUGAUCAGCUUCUAGUAAUCCCCGCACGAAAAUCAGUUUUUGUGUCUCGAUUGGC